ACGGCUGCCCCGUAGCCCCAUUGCCCCGCAGGUGUCAGCAGCCCGUGAGGGGGUUCCUAUUGGCUGCCCUAUAGCUGCCCUAUGGGGUCCCCCAUGCAGUACCCUAUGGGGUCCCCCUGUGGGUUGCCCUAUGGCUGCCCUAUGUGUGCCCUAUGGCUGCCCCAUAGCCCCAUUGCCCCGCAGGUGUCAGCAGCCCGUGAGGAGGUUCCUAUUGGCUGCCCUAUAGCUGCCCUAUGGGGUCCCCCUGUGGGUUGCCCUAUGUGUGACCUAUGUGUGCCCUAUGUGUGCCCUAUGGCUGCCCCACGGCUGCCCCAUAGCCCCA
ensembl:lncRNA